CUAUUAAUUUACUUUUAUUAUGUUGGUGUAUAUCUGGUUUAAUAUUAUUGUUGAAUAAUAUUAGUUUGUGUAAUUUUAUUAGUUAAGCCAAGUCUAUGUGCUGCUUAUAGAAGUAUUCAUGCGUUACUUUAAUAAAGUUUUAGUUGUAAGUACUAUCAUAUUCAGGACUUAAAAGUAAUGUUAAAUUAGUUUGUUAAUGUGAAAUAAGUUUAGCUCAUGUACACACCGCCAUA
rnacentral:rRNA from 1 species